UACAGGGGGUGCAAACGUUGCUCGGAAUUACUGGGCGUAAAGGGUUCGUAGGCGGUGUGGCAAGUCGGGAGUGAAAUCUCUGGGCUUAACUCAGAGGCUGCUUCCGAAACUGCCGUGCUAGAGUGCGGGAGAGGCGAGUGGAAUUGCAGGUGUAGCGGUGAAAUGCGUAGAUAUCAGGAGGAACACCUGUGGCGAAAGCGGCUCACUGGACCAUAACUGACGCUGAUGCACGAAAGCUAGGGGAGCAAACAGG
rnacentral:rRNA from 1 species